UACGUAGGGGGCAAGCGUUGUCCGGAAUCAUUGGGCGUAAAGCGCGUGUAGGCGGCCCGAUAAGUCCGCUGUGAAAGUCCAGGGCUCAACCCUGGGAUGCCGGUGGAUACUGUCGAGCUCGAGUCCGGAAGAGGCGAGUGGAAUUCCUGGUGUAGCGGUGAAAUGCGCAGAUAUCAGGAGGAACACCAAUGGCGAAGGCAGCUCGCUGGGACGUGACUGACGCUGAGACGCGAAAGCGUGGGGAGCAAACAGG
rnacentral:rRNA from 1 species